rnacentral:rRNA from 1 species
CAGUCGCCGCGGUAAUACGAAGGGUGCAAGCGUUAAUCGGAAUUACUGGGCGUAAAGCGCGCGUAGGUGGUUCAUUAAGUUGGAUGUGAAAGCCCUGGGCUCAACCUGGGAACUGCAUCCAAAACUGGUGAGCUAGAGUACGGUAGAGGGUAGUGGAAUUUCCUGUGUAGCGGUGAAAUGCGUAGAUAUAGGAAGGAACACCAGUGGCGAAGGCGACUACCUGGACUGAUACUGACACUGAGGUGCGAAAGCGUGGGAGCAAACAGGAUUAGAUACCCGGGUAGUCCCUGUCUCUUAUACA